rnacentral:rRNA from 1 species
CAAAAACAUGUCCUUUUGUUUGUAAUUUAAGGUCUAGCCUGCCCACUGAUUUAUUAAUUAAAUGGCCGCAGUAUUUUAACUGUGCAAAGGUAGCAUAAUCAUUAGUCUUUUAAUUGGAGGCUUGUAUGAAUGGUUGGACGAAGCAUAAGCUGUCUCAUAAUAAAUUUUUAUUAGAAUUUUAUUUUUUAGUUAAAAAGCUAAAAUUUUUUUGAAAGACGAGAAGACCCUAUAGAUCUUUAUAAUUAUUUUAUUUAUUAAUAUUUAGGAUAUUUUAUUAAUAAUUUAUUAUGAAUUAUUUUGUUGGGGUGACAUUAAAAUUUAUUAAACUUUUAAUAAUUUAUAAUACAUUGAUUUGUGGUUUAUUGAUCCAUUUUUAGUGAUUAAAAAAUUAAGUUACCUUAGGGAUAACAGCGUAAUCUUCUUGGAGAGUUCAUAUCGAUAAGAAGGGUUGCGACCUCGAUGUUGGACUAAAAUUAAUCUUGGGUGUAGCAGUUCAAGAAUUUAAGUCUGUUCGACUUUUAAUUUUUUACAUGAUCU